UACCUGCAGCUCAAGUGGUGAUCGUUAUUAUUGGGCCUAAAACGUCCGUAGCCGGUUUAUUAAAUGCCUGGGUAAAUCGGGCCGCUUAACGGUUCGAAUUCCGGGUAGACUGAUAGGCUUGGGACCGGGAGAGGCUAGAGGUACUCCUGGGGUAGAGGUGAAAUUCUGUAAUCCUAGGGGGACCACCAGUGGCGAAGGCGUCUAGCCAGAACGGGUCUGACGGUGAGGGACGAAGCCCUGGGGCGCAAACCGGAUUAGAUACCCGGGUAGUCCAGGGUGUAGACGCUCCUUGCUUGAUGUUAGUCGGGCUCCGAGCCCGAUUAGUGUCGGAGUGAAGAUGUUAAGCAAGCUGCCUGGGAAGUACGGCCGCAAGACUGAAACUUAAAGGAAUUGGCGGGGGAGCACAGCAACGGGUGGAGCGUGCGGUUU
rnacentral:rRNA from 1 species